rnacentral:tRNA from 1 species
AGGGAUAUAGCUCAGUGGUAGAAUACAUGUUUAGCAUGCAUGAGUUCCUGGGCUCAAUCCCUAGUGCUUCCA